rnacentral:rRNA from 1 species
UACGAAGGGGGCUAGCGUUGUUCGGAAUUACUGGGCGUAAAGGGCGCGUAGGCGGCCCAAUAAGUCAGAUGUGAAAGCCCCGAGCUUAACUUGGGAACUGCAUUUGAUACUGUUGGGCUAGAGAGUGAGAGAGGAAAGUGGAAUUGCGAGUGUAGAGGUGAAAUUCGUAGAUAUUCGCAAGAACACCAGUGGCGAAGGCGGCUUUCUGGCUCACAACUGACGCUAAGGCGCGAAAGCGUGGGGAGCAAACAGG